ensembl:lncRNA
AGCAACAGGUAAUGGACAUGCACAGGCGACUUGACGCCCGUACUUCCCUUCCAGACCUACCAGCACUGCGACAGACAGCCCUUUCUCCUUUCCCUACAACAGCCCCCCCCCAACAGCAGUAUAACAUAGAGCAGGAUGGCGGUGCGUACCAAACCACACCAGUCCCGCCACUUGUGCAAGUUGGUGGUCAUACUCUGCCUAAGGAUGAUGAUGACUGGCCACCGCCACCACCUCCAGUAGCAGACAACGUUUAUCAGCCACUAUCACAGGACCUUAUGGGAGAGCUCAUAACAGCACUGAGAGACAUUAGGAUGGCACGUCAGCAGGAGUCUCCCAGACAUCCUGAGCCCCAUCAUUCAGUGCCCGGGGUACAGACACCAGAGUACUGUGCACCCUACACCCCACAAAGAUGUGAGUCGCUGCCCGAAGAGCUGCAACCCUCCCACCACCAUGAGACAGUGUACCGCGGGCCUAAACCCACAAUCCCUGCAUUCACCAAAGGGGAUCCGAGAGAGUUCGCCAGGCUUAAGGUUGCUCUGGAGAACCUACUGCCUGUGGACGCUACAGAGCGCUUUAAAUACCAGAUCCUGGUGGAUCACCUGAAGUAUGAGGAGGCACUUCUAAUAGCGGACUCAUAUACAAACUCACUGCAGCCCUACACUGACACUAUGACAAGCCUAAUUGAGCAUUAUGGACAGCCUCACCAGCUAGCGCUCAGGAAAAUAGCUGAUCUAAUGGAGGCCCCUAAUAUUGCACGUGGUGACUCCAGUGGGUUUAAGCGAUUCGCUCUGAAAGUGAGAGCACCCGUGGUGAUGUUAGACCAGCUUGGGGACAGUGGAAAGACUGACCUCCACUGUGGUUCACAUGUGACACGGCUGAUGUCCAAACUGCCUCAUGAUAUACGGGCUGAAUUUAAGAGAUUCUUGUACCCAAUGCGUGUCACAAUCCCAAGCCUAUUGCACUUUUCUGACUGGCUUGACUAUGAGCUGAAGAUGCAGGAGACGGUGUAUGAGCCUCUAACCAGUGAAAACAAGAGCAGAGCAGGACCCAGGACAGAGCGCCGCCGUGACGCUAAGAGUGGCAAGAAUACCAACAUC